rnacentral:rRNA from 1 species
AAAUUGAAGAGUUUGAUCAUGGCUCAGAUUGAACGCUGGCGGCAGGCCUAACACAUGCAAGUCGAACGGUAACAGGAAGCAGCUUGCUGCUUGGCUGACGAGUGGCGGACGGGUGAGUAAUGUCUGGGAAACUGCCUGAUGGAGGGGGAUAACUACUGGAAACGGUGGCUAAUACCGCAUAACGUCGCAAGACCAAAGAGGGGGACCUUCGGGCCUCUUG